AUUAGUCUGUCCUCUUACAAAGUAAUGAUGUCCUCAAGCUCUACUGGGGUGUGUAGAAUCUCUUUCACGUUUUUGACCUCAGAUUGCUGCAAUUUUGUGCUCUAUAUUUCCUUUGUUAAAAGUUUUUCAUGUUUUGCUGCAUUAUCCCUGGUGUCACUUAUGGCUAGUUACUGCUCAUUUAACAUUUUGUUGACUGAAAAACAAUGUAACUAGAAUUGUGUGCAAAUGUUCUGUAUGGAAACAUCAUUUUAGUACUUGAG
rnacentral:lncRNA from 1 species